GACGAACGCUGGCGGCGUGCCUAACACAUGCAAGUCGAACGCCCUGGAGCAAUUCAGGGAGUGGCGGACGGGUGAGGAACACGUGGGUUAUCUGCCUUGAGGUGAGGAAUACCGGCGAGAAAUCGCCGACAAUACCGCAUAGGUUCGUAAGAACAAAGUCGCAAGACGCCUUGAGAUGAGCCUGCGUCCGAUUAGCCAGUUGGUGGGGUAAUGGCCUACCAAAGCAGCGAUCGGUAGCUGGUCUGAGAGGACGAUCAGCCACACUGGGAUUGAGAACGGCCCA
rnacentral:rRNA from 1 species